GCCUGGUCUGAUGGUAGGGGGUUAUCAGAAUUUAUUAAUUUAUUAGUGUCACUAAAGUUGGCAUACAGCCCCCCCAUUACUAAAUUUGUCUAGCCUAAA
ensembl:misc_RNA Y_RNA Y RNA